UACAGAGGUGGCAAGCGUUGUUCGGAAUUACUGGGCGUAAAGGGCGCGUAGGCGGCCUUCUAAGUCAGACGUGAAAUCCCCCGGCUUAACCUGGGAACUGCGUCUGAUACUGGAAGGCUUGAGUGCGGGAGAGGGAUGUGGAAUUCCAGGUGUAGCGGUGAAAUGCGUAGAUAUCUGGAGGAACACCGGUGGCGAAGGCGGCACCCUGGACCGACAUUGACGCUGAGGCGCGAAAGCUAGGGGAGCAAACGGGAUUAGAAACCCG
rnacentral:rRNA from 1 species